rnacentral:rRNA from 1 species
UCCGGUGCUUCUAGCGAUGAUGACAUACCUGUUCCCAUCCCGAACACAGAAGUCAAGCUCAUCAGCGCCGAUGGUACUUGGGCAUUAGCCCUGGGAGAGUAGGCCAGUGCCGGGA